UGCUUUUCCCAUGUUGAAUGUAGUCUUUUGUCCUUACUUCUUCCCUCCUUUAGGUUCAUGAUAAGGUAAAAUUACAGACCCUUGGAGUGGUUGGGCUGGAAGGGACCUUCAGGAUGUGUCACUCUACUCUCCUGCCAAGGGUAGGGACACCUUCCACUGUCCCAGGCUGCUCCAAGCCCUGUCCAGCCUGGUCUUGGGCACUGCCAGGGAUCCAGGGGCAGCCACAGCCUGUCAGGGCAAUAAUUCAAUUAGUUAUUCCCAUCAAUGGGCCAGUAAUCACACAAAGACCAGCCAGCUCUUCGAAGCUCACAACGGCAGCAGUGACCCUCCGUGUUUGCUUUUUCAAGUUCGUGCAACAUCUGAGUGACUCUGCCAGCACAGAAUCACAGAAUUAAUCAGGCUGGAAAAGCCCUCCAGGAUCAUCAAGUCCAACCAUUCCCCAGCACUGCCGAGGCCACCACUGAUCCACGUCCCCAAGUGCCACAUCCACAUGGUUUUAAACCUCUCCAGGGAUGGGGACUCACCACUGACCUGGGCAGCUGUGCCAGGACUGGACAACCCUUUCCAUGAAGAAAUUUU
rnacentral:lncRNA from 12 species